AAAGUCGUAACAAGGUUUCCGUAGGUGAACCUGCGGAAGGAUCAUUAAAAGUGCCAAAGGCCGAACAAAUAAGGCUUGCGGACGUCACCACUGUCCCAUCCGUCCCGGCCCUUACGGGCAAGCGCGGAUGUGGUUAUUGUGUCCACCCUUUGUGAAACUUAAAACUUUGCUUCGGCAGCACCUUGCGGGCAACCGCUCGGGUAAGGCUGUCAGAAGCCCACUACAAAACUAGUUGAUGAAAUGUCAUGCUGUCUUAGAAAAAAUCAAAUACUUAUUAAAACUUUCAGCAACGGAUCUCUUGGUUCCC
rnacentral:misc_RNA from 1 species